CCUACGGGCGGCAGCAGUAGGGAAUCUUUCACAAUGGGCGAAAGCCUGAUGGAGCAACGCCGCGUGCAGGAUGAAGGCCUUCGGGUUGUAAACUGCUUUUAUAAGCGAGAAAUAUGAUGGUAACUUAUGAAUAAGGAUCGGCUAACUACGUGCCAGCAGCCGCGGUCAUACGUAGGAUCCGAGCAUUAUCCGGAGUGACUGGGUGUAAAGAGUUGCGUAGGUGGCAUAGUAAGUAGCUAGUGAAAUCUGGUGGCUCAACCAUUCAGACUAUUAGCUAAACUGUUAAGCUCGAGACCGUUAGGGGUAACUGGAAUUGCUAGUGUAGGAGUGAAAUCCGUAGAUAUUAGAAGGAACACCAAUAGCGUAGGCAGGUUGCUGGGACGGUUCUGACACUAAGGCACGAAAGCGUAGGGAGCAAACGGGAUUAGAUACCCGAGUAGUC
rnacentral:rRNA from 1 species